GACGAACGCUGGCGGCGUGCCUAAUACAUGCAAGUCGAACGAGAGCGACCGGUGCUUGCACUGGUCAAUCUAGUGGCGAACGGGUGAGUAACACGUGGGUAACCUGCCCAUCAGAGGGGGAUAACAUUCGGAAACGGAUGCUAAAACCGCAUAGGUCCUUUAACCGCAUGGUUGAAGGAGGAAAAGAGGCGCAAGCUUCUGCUGAUGGAUGGACCCGCGGUGCAUUAGCUAGUUGGUGAGGUAACGGCUCACCAAGGCCGUGAUGCAUAGCCGACCUGAGAGGGUGAUCGGCCACAUUGGGACUGAGACACGGCCCAAACUCCUACGGGAGGCAGCAGUAGGGAAUCUUCCGCAAUGGACGCAAGUCUGACGGAGCAACGCCGCGUGAGUGAAGAAGGUUUUCGGAUCGUAAAACUCUGUUGUUAGAGAAGAACAAGUGCUAGAGUAACUGUUAGCGCCUUGACGGUAUCUAACCAGAAAGCCACGGCUAACUACGUGCCAGCAGCCGCGGUAAUACGUAGGUGGCAAGCGUUGUCCGGAUUUAUUGGGCGUAAAGCGAGCGCAGGCGGUUCCUUAAGUCUGAUGUGAAAGCCCCCGGCUCAACCGGGGAGGGUCAUUGGAAACUGGGGAACUUGAGUGCAGAAGAGGAGAGUGGAAUUCCAUGUGUAGCGGUGAAAUGCGUAGAUAUAUGGAGGAACACCAGUGGCGAACGCGACUCUCUGGUCUGUAACUGACGCUGAGGCUCGAAAGCGUGGGUAGCAAACAGG
rnacentral:rRNA from 1 species